rnacentral:rRNA from 1 species
GCGCCGCGGUAAUACAGAGACCUCAAGCGUUAUCCGGAUUUACUGGGCGUAAAGCGUCUGUAGGGGGUUUAUUAAGUUCCAAGUAAAAUUUCAAGGCUCAACUUUGAAUUCGCUUGGAAAACUAAUAAACUGGAGUCUAGCAGAGGUGCAUGGAACUUGUGGUGUAGGAGUGAAAUCCGUUGAUAUCACAAGGAACACCAAAGGCGAAGGCAUUGCACUGGGCUAGCACUGACCCUGAGAGACGAAAGCGUGGGGAGCAAAACGGAUUAGAUACCCGUGUAGUCCACGCCCUAAACGAUGAAUGCUAAAUGUUCGGGGAUUCGACCCCCUGGGUGUUACAGCUAACGCGUUAAGCAUUCCGCCUGGGAAGUACGGCCGCAAGGCUAAAACUCAAAGGAAUAGACGGGGAUCCGCACAAGCGGUGGAGCGUCUGGUUUAAUUCGACAGUAAGCGUGGUACCUCACCAGGGUUUGACAUCCCUUGACAGUCUUGGAAACAAGGUUUCCUUCGGGCAAGGUGACAGGUGCUGCAUGGUCGUCGUCAGUUCGUGCCGUGAGGUGUUCCGUUAAGUCGGGAAACGAACGAAACCCCUAUUGCAUGUUACAAUUUCUCAUGCAAGACUGCCCGGAUAUACUGGGAGGAAGGUGGGGAUGACGUCAGAUCUGCAUGGUCCUUAUACCCUGGGCGACACAGGCGCUACAAUGGCAGAGACAAAGGGUUGCAAAACCGCAAGGUGAAGCUAAUCCCAAAAACUUUGUCUAAGUUCGGAUUGAAGGCUGCAAUUCGCCUUCAUGAAGCUGGAAUCGCUAGUAAUCGUGAAUCAGCCCACGUCACGGUGAAU